ensembl:lncRNA
UAGCUACCUCAGAGAACCCUCAUGAACACAAGCAUGAACGUGUUAAACGUGAAAAAACUGUCUCUCAGACUAAGCCAGAGGAGAAAAUUAAACAACAAAAGACAACUCCCACUGAGAAGUCAGCCCAAGCAAAGCCAGCAAAGCAUGAAGCAGUCAGACCUGAAAAAGACGUUCCCCUUACAAAACCUGUCAAACCAAAAAACACUGCAAAGCCAACAGCUGAAAUCCCAACAUCAGCCACAAAAAAACCAAAGACAACUAAGGAAAAAGAAGAAAAACCAACUGAGAAGAAACAGCUGA